rnacentral:rRNA from 1 species
UUACUUGAUAAUUGAAUUCUACAAGGAUAACCGUAGUAAUUCUAGAGCUAAUACUUGCUGUUAAACCUGACUUUCGGGAAAGGUUGUAUUUAUUAGAUAGCAAACCAAUAGUCCGCAAGGAUUGUUGUGAUGAUUCAUAAUAACUGAUCGGAGCUGAACGACGUUCAGCUAAAUCAUUCAAGUUUCUGCCCUAUCACCUAGAUGGUAGUGUAUUUGACUACCAUGGGAAUAACGGGUACGCGGAAUUAGGGUUUGAUUUGCGGAGAGGGAGCCUGAGAAACGGCUACCACUUCUAAGGAAGGCAGCAGGCGCGCAAAUUACCCAAUCCCAAUUCGGGGAGGUAGUGACAAGAAAUAAUGACUCGGGGUCUCACGACUUACGGGAUCAAAAUGAGAACAAUUUAAAAAACUUAACGAGGAACAAUUGGAGGGCAAGUUCUGGUGCCAGCAGCCGCGGUAAUUCCAGCUCCAAUAGCGUAUAUUAAAGUUGUUGCAGUUAAAAAGCUCGUAGUCGAUAUUCUAGGUGGCCUCGGUGCGGCCCUGCUGCGCGGAGACCAUCUAUCAGCUCGAAAACUUAGUCGGCCUUCACUGGUUCGACUUUGCAGAUCGGGCAAUUUACUGAGAAAAAAUUAGAGUGUUCAAAGCAGGCUAUUGUCUUGAAUACACAAGCUUGGAAUAAUAGAAUAAGACUAAAAUCUUUUUUUGUUGGUUAUAAGAUUUAGUAAUGGUUAAUAGAAACAGUUGGGGGCAUUAGUAUUUAAUUGUCAGAGGUGAAAUUCUUGGAUUUAUUAAAGACUAACUUAUGCGAAAGCAUUUGCCAAGGAUGUUUUCAAUUGAUCAAGAA